AUGAAAACCUAUGUCGAGUUUAUGAGAAUAACAUAGGUCUCCGACGCGACCAGUCAACUAGAUUUUGUGUUAUGGCUUUUUGAAAUAAAUCUUAAAUUUUGAAUAUCUUCGAUUUUUCUCGCCCGAUAUCGGAGAGAUAUGCCUCUUUCGACUCGUACAGAUCAGGAGCUUCGAUUCGCAUUCAAGAAUCCUGAUUUCGAAAGAUUUCCAAAAUUGACCAAAAUGGCAAGGGGUAACAUCACGUUUUUGGCAAAAAUGGACUUUGUCCUGCAAUUGAAAACUUUUGAUGCAGAUCGAUUCUAAGGUUCACCACGAUUACAAAACACUUAAUCCUUCCGCGAUCGGACGUCUUUGAAACAAGUUAUGGCCAUUUAAAGUUUUUCAAAAAAGCUUAAAACUUGAAUAUCUCGGGUAUUUUCCGCCCGAUAUCGGAAAGAUAUACCUCUUUCGACUCGUACAGACCAGGACCUUCGAUUCGCAUUCAAAUAUCCUGAUUCCGAAAGAUGUCCAAAAUUGACCAAAGUGGCAAGGGGUUACAUCACGUUUUUGACGAAAAUGGACUUUGUCCUGCAAUUGAAAACUUUUGAUGCAGUUCGAUUCUAAGGUCCUCCACGAAUAAAAAACGUCCAAUCCUUCCGCGAUCGGACGUCAUUUACUUGAGAUACGGCCAUUUAAAGGUUUUGAAACAAAUUUUUUGACUUGAAUUUCUUCGCUAUUUUUCGACCGAUAUCGGGUUGAUAUAGUAGUUUGGUCCUGUUGGUUCCGACAUACUGCGAGCGGAUGUACGUAAAGAUUCAUGAAUGGGUUUUCAGAUAGCUUUUUGAUAGUCUCAAAAGAAUUCGGCGAUAUUCAUUUCACUUACAUAAGUGUUAUUCACAAGUACUACGAAUAUGUAAAAUGGAACGAAAUUAAAUCAAGAUAUUAAAAGAAAACAGGUUUACCUUUAAAAAUUAUAUAUCAGAUUUUAAGUACUUACUUACUUGAUUUAAAUUCUUAAUUGUUAGUAAAAGGCAGCUUACUUUCGGUUUUAUAUUUACACACGUUCUUUACUUAAUUUUGUUUUAAAUAGGGCUCAUAUUUAAUAUGCCUUCAUAAAGGUAUCGAUAUAUAUGUAUAAUUCUUUAAAUUGUAUCGCUAAAUAUACAAACAAAUACAAUA